AAGUCGAGCGCGAAAGUGGGCUUCGGCCCACGAGUAGAGCGGCGCACGGGUGAGUAACGCGUGGGUGAUCUGCCUUCGAGUGGGGAAUAACACCGGGAAACUGGUGCUAAUACCGCAUAACAUCCUCGGUUCGUUCCGAGGAUCAAAGCCGGGGACCGUAAGGCCUGGCGCUUGAAGAGGAGCCCGCGUCCGAUUAGCUUGUUGGCGGGGUAAUGGCCCACCAAGGCUUCUAUCGGUAGCCGGCCUGAGAGGGCGUACGGCCACACUGGGACUGAGACACGGCCCAGACUCCUACGGGAGGCAGCAGUGGGGAAUUUUCCGCAAUGGGGGAAACCCUGACGGAGCAACGCCGCGUGGAGGAUGAAGGCCCUCGGGUCGUAAACUCCUGUCGAUCGGAAAGAAUGCGUCCGACCCAAUACGUCGGCACGUUGACUGUACCGGUGGAGGAAGCCACGGCUAACUCUGUGCCAGCAGCCGCGGUAAGACAGAGGUGGCAAGCGUUGUUCGGAAUUACUGGGCGUAAAGCGCGCGCAGGCGGUUCGUCAAGUCCCGUGUGAAAUCCCCCGGCUCAACUGGGGAACUGCGCGGGAAACUAGCGAGCUUGAGUUCGGGAGA
rnacentral:rRNA from 1 species